rnacentral:tRNA from 1 species
GGUUGGCCGAGUGGUUAAGGCGUUGGACUUAAGUUCCAAUGGACAAGUGUCCGCGUGGGUUCGAACCCCCACACC